GCUUAAGAAGCUGAUUCAGCAAUGGUCUUGUAAGCCAGAGGAAGAAAUAUUUUAUUUCCUUAAGCU
rnacentral:tRNA from 1 species